UAACCAGAAAAGUAACUAUUCCGCGUUUCCGCGAAUUGAGUCGUUUCUUUCCGCACAUUUGAGCGGAAUCCGCGGAAUCCGUUACCGUCUCAACAAAACUCAACAAAAGUGUAUAGAAAAUAUAAAAACUUUAUAAAUGGAUGGUCCUGAUCUCCCAAUUGCAUCUCCACAAGUAGAUUGUCGCUGUCACCUUGAAGAAGUCUUCUUGUCUCAGUAAAAAUAGGCCGUAUCCAUAUUUUACAGUUCUUUCUGCUUUGCAGUUUCUUGUAACGCAAAUAUAAAAUAUACAUUGAGAUAACCUUUUUCAUAGUUAUCUCUGCAUAUCUCAUCGGUUCAUCCCGUGCUUAUAUGAGAUACUUCAUAAUAAUCAUCAAUAUGAUAUUUGGAUCCAUUAUUAUACUGUUACUUUUAAAAUAAUAAAAUAAUCGAAAUAUAU